GGGAAUAAUAAGUGAACAAUUGUACAAAGCCUCUUAAUGUGAAAACAAAUGGCAUUGAUAAUGUGUCAUUGUUGUGGAGUUCAACUGCAAGCACCAAUAUACUACAUCUAAAUAUGCCAAAAUAUUUAUACUGCAAGGAAUUCAAGGCAAGAAAAUCAAGUUGAUACAUGAGAAAGACAGCCAAAUAAGACUCUCGCCGACAAAUUACUUGAACGUUUGUUAGUUUUCUCCUUUGGAUGUUGUCUACCAUGUCUUUGCUUUUCUGCUUUGUUGUACUAAUAACUUCCUGUGUAGAAAACAACUUGGCAAUGAGAAAGAAGCACAACCUCUAACAUUUAUGUGUAUUGACAUGUAUGGUUACAGAAAUCAUGCUAGUACAUUAUUUUAUAGCUUUCUUACAUGAAACAAUAAUAAUGUUUAAAUCAGAGAGUAAAAAAUUUGACUAAAACAUAGCAUAUGUAGAAACAACAUGACGGGCAUGGGAUUAUUCUUUUGAUUACCUUAUAAAGAUUACACCGGUCCACCUUACUUGCAGCCUGCUUGAAUUGAAUUUUCAUUAACUACCUCGUUUGACAUGAAAAAACAAAAUCUGCACAAACAACAUGAGAGUGGGUUACUUCGUUUUAGUAGACAUAUGUAGCGCCAAGCUGUUGGUAUUACUAAUUAAAUCAAAACAAAUAAUCAAAGAAUAAUCAAAUUUUAAAUAAGCAGAAGCACACAAACCAUCCAAACGAAUCUAUUUCCAACCAGCAAAAAACAAUUAGUGUGUGACAAUGCCUACAACGCAGACGAUGGCUAGAUCCUGUGUAAGGGAUGGCGACCUGCUCACUCGCCAGUGCAACAGAGAGGAGAUAGCGCAACAUGUGAUAGCUGAUAAGGCAGGCAGGUUAAUUGUUCAGAUAGAAUAACAUGCAAAUUCAGAUAUUUCAAGCAAUUAGGAUUCAGAGAUCUACUUCACUCGAGAUCAUCAGAUCGUUGAUUACCUGGAACGUCCUUGAAGCCAGCUAGUCAUACCUUCGGCACAAUGUAGAACCAAAAGUAGUAUAGGCUAUUUUUUAGUUAGGCUGCUCUUCCCUAGUCUUUCCUUAUCUGAAAGCAGUACCUCAUGUCCAUGUAAACUUUCCCAUCAGCGUCCAUAAACUGCAAACAAAAUUCAGACAUACAUACUCCGGCAUAAGAUAGAUUCACUGGACCAAAAUAAC
rnacentral:lncRNA from 1 species